AACGUUUAAGUUUUCCCAGUGUAGAAUUUAAUUCAGUUUUCAUUGCUACAUGGAUUUUAACUUAUUUCCCUGUAGACUUCAGAAUCUCUAGUGCCGUGUUUUUCUUAGAAACACAUGUGUGCUAUCGAUAGAGUCGAAUGUUAGACUUUAAUAGCUUUCUGGUGAAUGAUAUGGGCCUUGCAUCCCAUAACUCAUUUUAAGUAUUAGGCUUGCUAAGCCCUUUAUAGUGUUAAUAAGGCCCUUUUUUGCAUUUCUGUGGCGACCGUUGGCAAGUCGCGUACCCCAAGCCGUCAGUCUUAUUUAAGCAGAAAUCUGAGAUAUCUUGGCAUUCGUGAGUUAAACUUUGUGGCAGUAAGUUAAGCCGUGUCAGUCAUGUAGUGGACGUUAGUUGUUUUGUGAUGGACCAGCCUAGAAUUUUCUUCUGGGCUGGUCCCUGGCCCAAGUCCCAGUUAUCACCUAUCGCUAGCACCUGAAUCCACAUUACACUGUGGCCAAAGCUAUUCUUUGUCGUUCCUUUUAUUUCGACUUCGCCGCUGGGUAAAUGACCUGGCCUAGAUAAAGAAUGCCUCUAAGGGCAUCCUCUACAUCUGUUUCAAGUAAGUUACGCAUCCUUUAUUAGAAGUAUUGAGAUGUCUUCUCGCGUGUCCAGAACAAGGAACUUAUGUUUGUGUUUCUUCCGUGGAAUAAGUUCAAUGACCAAAAGUUUUCGCCCAGUUUGUGAUAGUGACAUUCUGAAAAGUAGGUCAUACUUUUAGUAUGAAGUUGAUGAUUAUCUUUUUAUUUUUAAAUGGGUGAUCAUUUAAACUAUAAACAUUUACAUUAUGUAGAUAUUUUUCUGAGUAUUAUUAGAGUGUUAUUAAGUAUUGUUAGAUAGGUAUAAAUAUAAACAAAGAGCUCUUUCUUUUUUUGUUGUAAGUGAACGGUAAAAUUUCUAGUUUUUAUUUAGAGUAUGGAUUUUUUAUUGUUUCGAGUAACUACAGUUCAUUUUUUUUUGAGUUAAUAAUUAAUAGUUAUAUUCGUUCACUUACAUUCCAUUUUUUUUAGUAUUACUGUGUUGGUGAAUACACCAAUUUAUAUGCAGUGAUUGUUAUGUCGCCAACUUUUGUGUUAUAGAUUAACGGUAUUUUUUUGGUUUCUUAAUUUUGUUGUUGGCGAUCUUAUACUGCGUAUACACUGUACGUAUUGUGUAAAUAUUGAGAUUUCGUAGAGUAUUUUAAUAAAUGUUACAUUGAAACUUA
rnacentral:lncRNA from 1 species